UGGGUUCAUCAGUAAUACUCAAGUUAUUAGUGUGCUUAAGCGCCUACUUGAUAAGGGACUCGUACAGUGUCACAGAACAGAGCCUAAUUCUAAUGGCGCUGGUUGGAAUAAGAAGUUCUACUCUGUAACUGAGAGUGUGAGCGUUUAAUACGCUCACACUUUCUUUACUCUUAUGCAAGUAACGAGAAAGACACUUAAAGAAGAUAUCGAGUCGAUUGUAGAUGAUUGGCCCUUCGUAAAUUUUGCAGGAAACUCACCGCCUUUGUUUACUCAAAAAGAACAAGAGGGUCUACGUGCGUGGGCAGAGGAAACAGACAAGUUUUGCUUCGGCGC
rnacentral:misc_RNA from 1 species